UAGGGAAUCUUCCACAAUGGACGCAAGUCUGAUGGAGCAACGCCGCGUGAGUGAAGAAGGCUUUCGGGUCGUAAAACUCUGUUAUUGAAGAAGAACGUGCGUGACAGUAACUGGUCAUGCAGUGACGGUAUUCAAUCAGAAAGUCACGGCUAACUACGUGCCAGCAGCCGCGGUAAUACGUAGGUGGCAAGCGUUGUCCGGAUUUAUUGGGCGUAAAGCGAGUGCAGGCGGUCUUUUAAGUCUGAUGUGAAAGCCUUCGGCUUAACCGAAGAAGGGCAUCGGAAACUGGGAGACUUGAGUGCAGAAGAGGAGAGUGGAACUCCAUGUGUAGCGGUGAAAUGCGUAGAUAUAUGGAAGAACACCAGUGGCGAAGGCGGCUCUCUGGUCUGUAACUGACGCUGAGGCUCGAAAGCGUGGGUAGCAAACAGGAUUAGAUA
rnacentral:rRNA from 1 species